AUAUUUUCGUUGACGAGAAGAGUAGGCUUUAUCCUAGGGUCUGUAGAGAGUCGCUGGCUGGUGAAAAGCGAUGACCGUAUAGAGCUGAAGAUCAUCUCCGAGAAGUUCUGCUGAAAUGUUGAAGAGUAGGGAGAACCGGUUGGCGGCCGUUAUCCGUUAUGUGAACCAAGUGCCGUGCGUUUUUUGCGCGGAAUAUGGGUGGUACCGCGGAUCCAAUCCGUCCCUGUU
rnacentral:ncRNA from 1 species